AGUGGCUCUAGUAUGGUGACAGGGGCUGUAUAGGGUUGACAUUGGAUGUAUUGGUGACAGGGGCAAUUGUGGGAGGAUAGGGACUAUUGUGUGUAUAGAAACAUAGACUGUGACUGCAGAUAAGAACCAUUUGGCCCAUCUAGUCUGCCCAAUCUGUAUAGUGGAGUGACAGGGGCGGUAGUGAGAGAAUAUGUGCUGUAGUGGGUGGAUAUGGACUAUUGUUGGGUGGAUAGUGGGUAUAGUUAGGUGACAAGGACAUUAGUGGGAAUAUAGG